UCGAUUUUGACCCUUCAUCAUUGUUGUAUAUUUGGGACAAAAUGCUCGUGUUCUAUAAAGCUCACACAAAUCUUAAUCAUAAAGAGUAGAGUUGAGAGAGAGAGAGAGAGAGAGAGAGAGCAGAAGAAGAAGAAGAAGAAGAAAAUGGGGCUGAAAAACUUCACUGCCGUUUUUCAAAAUCAGACGAUCCAUUUCCUUUCAAUGGGUAGCCAAAAAGUUCCCAUACGUCCACACCCAUUAGCGAGCUUCUUCUUUACCAAAAAAAAAAAAAACUAAAAUAAUUAGAUUAUCAUUUUCAAACCACCUUUUAGCUGUAACUGGAAACAAAAAAACAAUACAGACUCUCUCAUCAGCGCUGUCUCUUUUCGCCACCGUCGAGUUUCUAUCUUGCCCCACGUUGACUCCAGAAACCAUAGCCGCUGUUUCCACAGUACCAUUAACCUGAGGUGUUCAUUACCGGAAUCAAAACCCAAGGCAGGCCAGGAGCCCACUCACAUCGUCCAUGUGCAUCUUCAGCGUGCUCGUUCUACUUUCUUGCCUCUGACCUCUCUGGACUUAGCUUUAUUCAAGCACUAGCCACUCAAAAAAAGAGUGAAGAAGAGGUACGGGAUAUCCAGUGGAGCUAUCUCCGUCAUAAUCACUCAAGGCAUGGAAAUCUUCGAUGACUAUCGUGCAUGAUUUUUAUGUUCAAAAGAUCCAGUCCUCUAGCUGUGCAUAAUUAUUGGCCAAGCCGCAAAUAAAAUGAUUUUUGGUUGAAGAAGAAUCGGUAUGUGCAAGGGUUUCUGGUUCGUUUCUUUUUACUGUCCCUUGGCUUUUCUUUAAUGCUAGUACAGUUACAUUUCUC